GCCUUCGUGGUGAAAUGGUAGACACGCUGGUUUUAGGAACCAGUGCAGAAAUGCAUGCCGGUUCAAGUCCGGCCGAAGGC
rnacentral:tRNA from 1 species